rnacentral:misc_RNA from 1 species
GGCCAGAUUGGAAGAAAAAAAAACCAUCAUUCUUUGGUAGUGUUCUUGCUAUUUACCAAUGAAAAGAAACAUCUAAUUAUUAGUAUUCCACUGCUACGUGGAAUGAAAAGUCUAUGCAGGAUUUGUUAGAGUGUAUAUCAUUCCUCAUUUACCAAAAAAUAAAAAAGGCCACCAAGAAAAUCCCCCAAGCCCCAAAACUGCGACUCCUGUCCUAGAUCUGACAGUUAAAUAAGAGCACCUUCACAUUCUUCUUUCAAAAUUCCACUUCUGCCAAUGCUUUCACAGUCUGUUGCUGCAACUUGAGAGCCUCCAUUUUUGUUUUGAUAAGGUGACAACACAUCCACUUCCUUCCUCUUCUUCUCCUUCUUUUCCAAUAAUUUUUUAGCAAAUGCGUCUGCAAUCUGUUGCUGCGACUCAAGAAUCAUCUGGUUAUGCUUCAACAACAUAUCCAUCCUCAUUUUCUCAAUUUCCAUUGCCAUUUCCAUUUUCAUCUUCUCCACCUUCACAAAACUUUUUGUAGACAUCUUAAUUGCUGACACAGCCUCUGCAAUUGGAUCCAUCACUUUCUUGCCACCACUUUGAACGUCACCCUUCUUGACAUUACCAAACCCAUUCAAAACCUUAGAAUCAACAUCAAGCUUCAAGCUCCCAUCAAUCUUACCAUUAUUCUUAGGUCUAAACCCUGGGAGAGGAGAUACCAGGCCAUCAAUAAUGUUC